rnacentral:rRNA from 1 species
AAACUUUCAACAACGGAUCUCUUGGUUCUGGCAUCGAUGAAGAACGCAGCGAAAUGCGAUAAGUAAUGUGAAUUGCAGAAUUCAGUGAAUCAUCGAAUCUUUGAACGCACAUUGCGCCCGCCAGUAUUCUGGCGGGAAUCCCUGUCCGAGCGUUUUUU